rnacentral:rRNA from 1 species
CGUCGAUCCUAUUUUGUUGGUUUCUAGGACCGCCGUAAUGAUUAAUAGGGAUAGUUGGGGGCAUUAGUAUUCAAUUGUCAGAGGUGAAAUUCUUGGAUUUAUUGAAGACUAACUACUGCGAAAGCAUUUGCCAAGGAUGUUUUCAUUAAUCAAGAACGAAAGUUAGGGGAUCGAAGACGAUUAGAUACCGUCGUAGUCUUAACCAUAAACUAUGCCGACUAGGGAUCGGGCGCAGUUUCAAACGACUCGCUCGGCACCUUAAGAGAAAUCAAAGUUUUUGGGUUCUGGGGGGAGUAUGGUCGCAAGGCUGAAACUUAAAGGAAUUGACGGAAGGGCACCACCAGGAGUGGAGCCUGCGGCUUAAUUUGACUCAACACGG